UCCCUGGUGGCUUAGAUGGUAAAGAAACUGCCUGCAAUGCAGGAGACUUGGGUUCAAUCCCUGGGUUGGGAA
rnacentral:tRNA from 1 species